UAAACAUGUUCUAGAACCCUCACAGACAACAAUAACAAUGUACCCUGUAGAACUCUCAUUAACAGCUGUAAACAUGUUCCAGAACCCUCACAGACAACAAUAACAAUGUACCCUGAAGAACUCUCGUUAACAGCUGUAAACAUGUUCUAGAACCCUCACAGACAACAAUAACAAUGUACCCUGAAGAACUCUCGUUAACAGCUGUAAACAUGUUCUAGAACCCUCACAGACAACAAUAACAAUGUACCCUGAAGAACUCUCGUUAACAGCUGUAAACAUGUUCUAGAACCCUCACAAACAACAAUAACAAUGUACCCUGAAUAACUCUCGUUAACAGCUGUAAACAUGUUCUAGAACCCUCACAAACAACAAUAACAAUGUACCCUGAAGAACUCUCGUUAACAGCUGUAAACAUGUUCUAGAACCCUCACAGACAACAAUAACAAUGUACCCUGUAGAACUCUCGUUAACAGCUGUAAACAUGUUCUAGAACCCUCACAGACAACAAUAACAAUGUACCCUGAAGAACUCUCGUUAACAGCUGUAAACAUGUUCUAGAACCCUCACAGACAACAAUAACAAUGUACCCUGUAGAACUCUCAUUAACAGCUGUAAACAUGUUCCAGAACCCUCACAGACAACAAUAACAAUGUACCCUGUAGAACUCUCAUUAACAGCUGUAAACAUGUUCUAGAACCCUCACAUACAACAAUAACAAUGUACCCUGAAUAACUCUCGUUAACAGCUGUAAACAUGUUCUAGAACCCUCACAAACAACAAUAACAAUGUACCCUGAAGAACUCUCAUUAACAGCUGUAAACAUGUUCUAGAACCCUCACAGACAACAAUAACAAUGUACCCUGAAUAACUCUCGUUAACAGCUGUAAACAUGUUCUAGAACCCUCACAAACAACAAUAACAAUGUACCCUGAAGAACUCUCAUUAACAGCUGUAAACAUGUUCUAGAACCCUCACAAACAACAAUAACAAUGUACCCUGAAUAACUCUCGUUAACAGCUGUAAACAUGUGUGCACGAAUACUUGAAAGACAUCUGGGCAUUAGUGAAAUAUUUGAUGGCAACAAAAAAAACUAAAUAUGAAUUUAGGAUGUGACUGAAUUGUACCAUUUCUAAAAUAUAUUCACCUUUCUACUACAGUAACUCAUUGUGUGGAUAAUAUAAAGAAAGUGAGUUAAUAUUGGAAUAUAUGCUAUAUGAUAUAGUGUGUGGCAGUCAGACACACAGGCAUGCUGUUAGACUGCAGGCUGUUGAAUGAUUCAUCUUUUUAUGUUCAUCUGUGUGUGUGUGUGUGUGUGAGGUGUAUUCAGGACACAGCAGAAGACAGGGAAUGGAUGGAGGAACAGGGUUGGGUAUAUAAUGCAGAUAUCCAUCAUACAUACAGCACACAAACACACACACACACAUACACACAUUAAUAAUAAUAAUGCAUUACCUACCUGCUGCCAAAAUAAUGACAUUUUUCAAAAUAAACACUUUCUAGUGAAAACAGAUUCCUUUUCAUUGUGACAAGAAUAAAUAAGUAUAAUUGAAUGGUUAAAAAACUGAAUAAACCGAG
ensembl:lncRNA